rnacentral:rRNA from 1 species
AUUGAACGCUGGCGGCAGGCCUAACACACGCAAGUCGAGCGGUAGAGAGAAGCUUGCUUCUCUUGAGAGCGGCGGACGGGUGAGUAAUGCCUAGGAAUCUGCCUAGUGGUGGGGGAUAACGUUCGGAAACGGACGCUAAUACCGCAUACGUCCUACGGGAGAAAGCGGGGGAUCUUCGGACCUCGCGCCAUUAGAUGAGCCUAGGUCGGAUUAGCUAGUUGGUGAGGUAAUGGCUCACCAAGGCGACGAUCCGUAACUGGUCUGAGAGGAUGAUCAGUCACACUGGAACUGAGACACGGUCCAGACUCCUACGGGAGGCAGCAGUGGGGAAUAUUGGACAAUGGGCGAAAGCCUGAUCCAGCCAUGCCGCGUGUGUGAAGAAGGUCUUCGGAUUGUAAAGCACUUUAAGUUGGGAGGAAGGGUAGUAACCUAAUACGUUGCUACUUUGACGUUACCGACAGAAUAAGCACCGGCUAACUUCGUGCCAGCCGCCGCGGUAAGAC